GCCAAGAACUCCAUCGCCCCUGCAGCCACCGUGCAUCCCGCGGGCUAGGAGGUUGCCCCGGAGCUCCGUCGAGCUUCGCUGCUUCGGCUACGAGGACCGGUUCAAGCUCAGCGCCCUGGCAACGACAAGAUCAAGCUCUUCUUCCUCCUAUGGAUGCCGCCGUUUUCGUUGAACUGCUUCACUCCGGCCUCCCCCGGCUUCACCGAAUCACCCGCGAGAACCACUGUGAGCGUUCCCCCAUUUCCCAUAGUUCGUUUUUGCCCCGCACGCGCCCUCUGGCUAGAUGUUGCCGUGACCAUGCCCCGUCCAAAGCUCUGCUUCCACCGCCAUGUCUGUUGCCACUGUUGUAGUUAGCUCCGUACUGAAAUAACACCAUUGCCAUGCUGCUGGGGAUCCAGGGCAGCGCGUGCACCCCGUAGAUGGCCAUGCACGUGGCCGUGGCUUCAAUUUUGUCCAGCCCUAGCUGUGACCGCCGCGGGACAUCGCCAAGCCGAUAGCACCGUCCACCCCAUGCCUCCUACCUGCCCAGGUCGACUUGCGUCGUCGCCCUCGUCCAGCAAUAGAUCCUCGCGGACCAAGUGCCCGCCAGGAGGCCAAACCUGAGCCGCCCCCGCACCGACAUAUGGUCGUCGGCGUACCCUACACGCCCGCUGCCGCCCGCGAAAUCCCUUGGAUGCGCCCGGAGAUCCGCUUCGUCGCCCGGCCAUGCCCCCGAGCGCCGACCCGCGCCUCUGCCACUGCUCUCCCGCACCGCCUACGCUUGCCCGCACCUCCCCCACCGCGUCCGCCUCACCGUGGCCAUAUGCCGCCCCGGCCGCGUGCCCCCGCGGCCCUACCGGCCUCCCUUGUCGCCGCGGACCACUUCCCCGCCCCGCUCCGCGCAGCUCGUCGCCCCCGACGGGCAACCCGUGCCCGCCCCGUUAACCACCCGCUCCAGUGGUCAGAUGGGCCACUGCCAGCGGGGCCCCACAGCCCCUUUUCUUUAAAAAAUAGGUAUUUUAAAUAAAUAAAUAAUUAAAGUAAUUAAUCCAGUUUAAAAUACUACUCCCUCCAUUCCUAAAUAUAAGUCUUUGUAAAGUUUUCACUAUGAACCACAUACGGAUGUAUAUAGAUGCAUUUUAGAGUGUAGAUUCAUUCAUUUUGCUUCAUAUGUAGAUCAUCUAGUGAAAUCUCCAUAAAGACUUAUACUUAGGAAUGGAGGGAGUAAUUAAGAUUAAUUGUUCUGCUAAUUAAACUAGGUUAAUUUUGUAGUUAGCAAAGUAGUCUAUGACAGGAGGGCCCCAUCCCCUGUUGACUACUCAAUAGUUGACUGGUCAACCGGGUCCCCCUGGCCCACAUGUCAUCCUCUGUGUACACUUCUGUGUACACAGAGCUUGAUACCCGUAGCAUUUUGUUAUUAAUUUUUCGAAUUAGUAUUAAUUUUAGAAUAUUGUUAAAACUUCAGAAAUUCAUAGAAAUUAAACCGUAACUCGGACGAAAAUGUUUUCUACAUGAAAGUUGCUCAGAAAAACGAGACGAAUCCAAAUAAGUAGUAUGUUUACCUGUCAGAUGCUGCUAACUACCUGAACAUGUAACUUUCCCCCUCCAGUCAUCUGUUUGACAAAGGUCCGGAACCGGGAAAACAUUCCCGGUCGAAUUUCCCCCUUCACCUUUAUCGUGUAGCCAUACAUUAGGUCACACCCGGCACAGCAUAUUGCCACAUUAUGCAUUGUGAUGCUAUGUUUGCUUUAUAUUUACUGGUUCUUCCCCCUCUUCUCUCCGGUAGACCCCGAGACCGAUGCUGCCCCUGUGAUCGACUACGUCGAUGACGACCCCUCCUUGCCAGAGCAACCAGGCAAGCCCCCCCUUUGAUCAUCCCGAUAUCUCCCAUUCCAUUCUCUCAUGCUUGCAUUAGAUUUUGCUAUUGUUAUUGUUUGCUCCUAUUCUGAUGCAUAGCCUGCUUUUGUAACCUGCUUAUUGUUACCUUACCUGCUUAUCCUAAACUGCUUAGUAUAGGUUGGUUAGUGAUCCAUCAGUGACCCCCACCUUGUCCUUGUUGCCCCUGCUUCAUCAUUGAAGACCCAAUCAACGGGAUCGAAGACUAGGCCCCGGCACCGUACAAGACUUUACCCUUAGUUGCUCGACACUGCUGGGUUACUAUCGAGUGCCGAGGGUGAGACCUCUACAACACUUCUGAUAUUAACCCUGUAGUGUAGCUAUUCGGUCGUGGUCAUCGAGGGUGAUUCCGACUUAACCACUUCUGAUACGACUCUGUCGUGCAACCCCUCAAGUGUGAACCUCGGGGGUGAUUCCUCUUACGUUCACCUUGAUGAUUACAUCGAGUGGAAUUCAUCGGGGGUGAUUCCACGGGUUUUUCCCUUGAUGUUUAGACACAUAGUUACUAUGAUUACUAUGACUUUACACUGAACCAUGUUACUAAAGACGGGUCGACCCUGAGGGGUACCCGCGCGAGCAUAAUUGCGAGUGAUGUGGAGUCGGGUUGACCUGGAAGGUGUCCGAGAGAUAAUUACGAGGCGUGGCCGGGCAUUCUUAGCCCUUGCCGCAAGUCCUCGAGACGGGGCAACGGGGUCACAUCUUUCGUGAGUCUCUGCUUGUUACCGCGCGUUCCUAAUCCACUACGAUUUGGAUAUUUGAUCCGAGGGGCCUCUGGCCUGAUAGCACUAACCAUCAUGUGGGCAUAGUAUGGGCAUUCUGCGUCAUAUGCAUCAGCCGAAGCUUAAUAGUCGUCAGUGACUGAGCGGCGCACGCCGGGUUGGACUGGUAAGCACCUGCCUUUUGAAAGGAGGUAGCUAGGUCUGCUCACCGGCUGCGUACGCAACGUGCAGGAGUUCCCGGGGCGAUGGCCCAUGACCCCUGGGGGCAUAGGUUUAGUCCGACGUCCUGACCUCUCUAUUAAGCCUAGGUCGGGUUGCGGCGUAUUUUUUUGGCUGCGGCCGGGCAUGACCCAGGAAAGUGUGUCCGGCCGGAGUUAAUCGAGCGUGGUGGGUAAGUUGGUGCACCCCUGCGGGGAAGAAAACAUCUAUCAAUAGCCUGUCCUACGGUAACGGACACUUGGAGUUGUAUCCCGAUCGAUACAACUAGAACUGGUUACUUGUGAUGAGAAUUGGAUGGUGAUGAGGAUUGGAUUGUGAUGACAAUUGGAUAGUAUGGCUCUGGGAUUGCUUUCUCGCAGGGAGUCGAGAAAGGAUCUCUGGCCGAGGUUGAUAACACUUCUACCACUUUACUUUAUGCUAUUCUACUCCCUCCUGUUUGCUGCAAGAUGGUGGUUUCCAAAAGAUGCUAGUCUUCGAUAGGACUAGGCCUUCUCUCUAUUCUGGCAUUUCUGCAGCCCAAUCCACAUAUACAGCCUUCCUUUGAUAAUGUUGCAUAUGUAGUGUAGAUCCUUGCUGGCGAGUACUUUGGAUGAGUACUCACGGUUGCUUUGCUCCCUCUUUUCCCCCUUUUCCAUUCUUCUCGGACGACGCAACCAGAUGACGGAGUCCAGGAGCUAGAUGACACCUUUGACGACUGCUACUACCCCGAGGGUGCCUGCUACCACGUGACGGACGCUGACGACCAGGAGUAGUUAGGAGGCUCCCAGGCAGGAGGCCUUGCCUUUUUGAUCAAUGUUGCUUUUGUGCUAGCCUUCUUAAGGCAUACUUGUUUAACUCAUGUCUGUACUCAGAUAUUUUUGCUUCUGCUGACUCGUUUGUAUUCGAGCUGAUGUAUUCGAGCCCUUGAGGCCCCUGGCUUGUAAUAUAAAGCUUGUAUUAUUUUAAGUUGUGUCUAGAGUUGUGUUGUGAUAUCUUCCCGUGAGUCCUUGAUCUUGAUCGUACACAUUGGCGUGCAUGAUUAGUGUACGAUGGAAUCGAGGGCGUCACAAGUUGGUAUCAGAGCCGAUUGCCUGUAGGUAGCCCCCUUUCCAACUCCUUGGCCGAAGUUGAGUCUAGUCACUACAAAGCUUUUACUAACAUGGUUGUGUGUCUUACGGGCCCACGUCGCCAUUGGGUGGUAUUAGGAUCUUUUACUCCUCGAUCUUUAUUCUGGGACUCUGAUCUCUCUUCUAUUCGGGUUAAAUGAUUUUUGCAAACUCUAACAUUAGGUUCUCGUAAACACAUCCUCCCGGAGAGCCUCUCAUUCCACAUGAUUGCCUGCUUCACCAGAAGAUUAUGAAGAUACUUGUCGAUGUUUUCUGAGACCCUUGUGCCCAUCGCUUUUGCAGUUCCUUUCCAUCAAUAAACCCCUAUGGGUGACCACGUAUACGUGUCAUUCAUAUAAUCAUUUCCCUGUUGGUCUUGUUUUACAAGAUACCCCGAAAUCCUCUCUAUUGUUCCAAGAAUAUUUUGUGCCUACUGACUUACAGUACUUUGCCACAUCAAUACCCCUAUGGAUAAUUCCUUGCACUUACCAAGUAUCCGCCAUCCCUAGUUGCUCAUGUGUUUCACAAAAGUCUUCAAAUACUAUUCAAUCUUCCAAAAAUCUUCAGCAGCCUAUUGCUCUUGAAAUUCUUGCUUGCUUGCAUUAUGAUUAAUCCCAUAAGCCUACUAAUCUUAUUGGCAUCCUUUGUCACUAUCAUUUUUAGUACGUUGAUUCAACUUGUGUGCGAAUGCAUGCAAUCAUCAGAUGAUCCUUAUAAAUUAUCUUCCGGCUCAGACGUCUUUCCAAACCUGAGUUGGUACUCGACCAAUCAAAUUGCCGUCGAUUGUACCCCUAAGUCUAUUCAACUUAUCCACCCUUUAUCAGAGCUUUUGCUUAUGAUCCCAUGAUUUGGAAAUCAUCAUUCCUUUGCAUUCAAGCUUGAAUUAGUCAGUUGUUUCUAUAGUCUGAUCUCAUUGCAUUCUUUCUUCUUCUGGUUGAGUACCAAUGCUCACAUCAGAUCCCUUGUGGACCACCAGAUCCUUUGUUGGAUUUUAUCCGACAGUGUAAUUCAUAGUUAAUCACCUUGUGAGUUCUUCCCAGAUACAUAAUGCCUCUGGUAAAUUGUAUUCUCUGAUUUGGCCAACGCCUUCGAGCUUGUGUUAUUUACUCUUGUAGCUUGUGGUACAUGUUUCGAAGAUGCCCCGAUGGGUCGAACCUAUGCCUUCCCUAAUCCGUGUGAACCCGAGAAUUUUCACGAGUCAUGCCCUUCUGGUGAUUUGCCAGAUAUAAUUUCAACACUACAACCUCAUCGAAAGCGAGAAGUGAAAGGAAGGUUAUGCAUUGAAGAAAUGGGAGUCGACCUUGAACUUUCUGUUCAUGCCCAUGGACCCGAUGUGGAACUUAUCAUGGAAGCUACUUGUGAUAAUAAUAAUCUCCUUGUUAUAAGUUCAUCUGGUAUCUAUGUUUGGUCCUUUGCAACCGUGUUUCUGACCAUGAUUGUGCCCCUUUGAUUCCAUUUCUCAGACAAGUUAAAGCACUUGUCUUCUACAGAUCAAUGCAUCUUCGCAACCUCUAUUUUGAUCUUCCUUCGAGUAUUACCCUCUGGUGCCUUGAGAAUAUCAAAGAACUAUGUUGCUUCCUAUGAGUCGUCAUCUAGUAUUGCCUCUCACCGAUUUCAGAUUUCCCCGGGUUCUGAGUUAUUAGUCACUCCAGAACACUAGUAAGUGAAUCGAUUCCACACUCUAAUUUAGUAAGUCUAAGUAAUUUUCGUUGCUUACGAGUGUAAUCCUUCAAGUCAUUCCUAGCCUGAUCAGUGAUAUCAUUAUCAUGCUAAAUUUUAACUGUGCUACCUGGUCCUUCUUCCCGGAGCACAAUUUUUGACAAUGAGCUAAGCCUAUGUCAAUCUUCCUGAUCAUAUCAUUUCUACUUGAACCACAAGCUUGAUUUUGAGUUUGUGUCGUACCCGUGGUACCAAUAACCAUUCGUUUCAUCAUUCCUUUGACUUGAUGUCAUCGCAAAUCGAUUACAUCUUCAUGGUACCUCAACAAAUAUGUCGUGAUCAUCACCAUCAUUCUGAGCUCUUCCAGGGUAUCAAUCAAAUUCAUGAUGAGAAAUACCAUCCUUGCCCCCUCGAUGAAUUGUUGUCGAUCUCGUCGGCCACAAAAAUCAUCUUUUUCUUGCUGAAAUUAUAUGACUUAAUUUUAUAAGUUGUUCUGAUGGAUCCUUUGUGUAUCCAAAGUCUGACCUUUCCUUGAUGACCUUGUCAAUGCUAUCCUGAAGCAUGUUUGUGGUACUCAGUUCAUCAAAAAGAACAUUGGGAGUGCAAUGCUAUCGGUUUCUUGUUCAAUUAUCCAAAUACCGUUGUAUGGAUAAACCUCAUAAAUUCCUUGCCCCUUUGUCUAAAUGGUUUCAUACUUGGAGCCCUGUCAUGUAUAUCAUGCUCCGCCUUUCCUUGGGAAAGUUACACUCCUAAAUCUUGUGUUUAAACACAUUUUCCCUUCCAUUGGUUUGUUUAACCUUUCUGGUGAUCUAUAUAUGUUAUAAGCAGAAAUAAUCCCCUGAUUAUGGAAACACCUCGAGGUACAAAUCAGUCGGUACGACCCUGUUAUUAAUGUUGGUGACAUUCCGGUAAACCCCGAUGGACGAGAACUUUGCCUAUUGGUCCGCCUCGUUUUAAGAGCAGGAAAAUGGUUCUCUUCGUCCCACUCCCUUGGUACCAAACUUUGUUGCCAACAUAACUGGCAGGCUAUCCUCUGACCUGCCUUGCUAUCAUGACCGUUCAAGAUGUUAGCGCCUUCCUGCUUUUAACCCACAUGGUGGGCCCAUAACCCGCAGUUCCACAAGAUUGAAACCUGACUCUCCUGUACACCCUUGUUUCUAAGGUUAUUUCUCACACUUAGCUUCAUAUGAAAAUCCCGAGCCGCCUUCCGAGAGGCGAUCUAUUCUGGUAUCAGACGCGAUACUUAUUACCAUUGCUCUGAACCCCUUCACCCCCUUGUUUAAGGCAACAAACGACUGUCUACCAGGUUGAAGCUUCUUAUUGCACCUCACCUUGCUCUCGAUGACUUUUUUGAAUUUUCAACUCGAGAGAUGCCUCUAUGCCACGUUCACUCACAUAGUCCCCGCGUACCUAUCUUGUGUUGAGCUCCGUCCUUCCCGAGUCAUUCCCCUUACUCCACCUCUUAAAUCUCGGGACGAGAUUUCUUGUAGUGGAGGAGAUUUGUAACACCCCAGUGUCCUGCUACAGUAACCCACUGUGAUUAAGCUAAUCAUUUUUUUCAAAUAGUGCUUAAUCACCUUUGAUUCAAAUCUCAUUUGAAAUUCCACUUUGGAAUCAAAUUCAAUUUGCAAGUGAUUUUUGAAGUUGCACAAAAGUUGUUGCAAAAUAGUCCAUCAUUCAGUAAAAAUUCCAUAACAAAUGAUUGUUAAGGAAAACAACAUCACCUCCGAGCUAAGAUGGACUAUAGCAAAUUAAAACAGUGCCAACUCAGCAAAUUGAUUGCUUUUCCAUCUUUUUGCAAAUUUCAUCUAAUUCAAACUUCUUCCAAACUUUUUGUGGCUGUGUCAAACAUUGCAUUGUAAUUAUGUGGCGAAGUCCCACAUUUUACAGAAUCCUUUUGGCAGCUCCAAAAAUUUGCAAAGCAUUCUGUAAAAAGAGAAAAGAAAUAGAAAUGCAAAAAAAGAAGGAAAAGGGAACCCCCCCUGCCCUUGGGCCUAAGGCCACAGAGACAGGCCCAGCCGGCCAGGCCCAGCUCCCCGCCCCGGUCAUCUCCCCCACUGUUCCCCCGGUGUGCGUUGCUACAGGAGGCUGGUCGCCGCCGAACCACCUCACCGGCGACGACCCCCGCGAUAGCAAAAAGCCUCCACGCCCCCGNNNNNNNNNNNNNNNNNNNNNNNNNNNNNNNNNNNNNNNNNNNNNNNNNNNNNNNNNNNNNNNNNNNNNNNNNNNNNNNNNNNNNNNNNNNNNNNNNNNNNNNNNNNNNNNNNNNNNNNNNNNNNNNNNNNNNNNNNNNNNNNNNNNNNNNNNNNNNNNNNNNNNNNNNNNNNNNNNNNNNNNNNNNNNNNNNNNNNNNNNNNNNNNNNNNNNNNNNNNNNNNNNNNNNNNNNNNNNNNNNNNNNNNNNNNNNNNNNNNNNNNNNNNNNNNNNNNNNNNNNNNNNNNNNNNNNNNNNNNNNNNNNNNNNCAGCCACCGUGCAUCCCGCGGGCUAGGAGGUUGCCCCGGAGCUCUGUCGAGCUUCGCUGCUUCGGCUACGAGGACCGGUUCGAGCUCAGCGCCCUGGCAACGACAAGAUCAAGCUCUUCUUCCUCCUGUGGAUGCCGCUGUUUUCGUUGAACUGCUUCACUCCGGCCUCCCCCGGCUUCAUCGACUCGCCCGCGAGAACC
rnacentral:lncRNA from 1 species